UACAGAGGGGGCAAGCGUUGUUCGGAAUUACUGGGCGUAAAGGGCGCGUAGGCGGCCUUCUAAGUCGAACGUGAAAUCCCCGGGCUCAACCCGGGAACUGCGUCCGAUACUGGAAGGCUUGAAUCCGGGAGAGGGAUGCGGAAUUCCAGGUGUAGCGGUGAAAUGCGUAGAUAUCUGGAGGAACACCGGUGGCGAAGGCGGCAUCCUGGACCGGCAUUGACGCUGAGGCGGCGAAAGCC
rnacentral:rRNA from 1 species